GAACUGGACUCUUGGCUGAACCUGGUGGCCACCUCUGGACCUGUCCUGUUCACCUGGCUCAGGAUGUUCUGGAUCCACGUGAACAUGGAUCUGUGCCCUGCCCACAGACAGCCCUGCCUUUGUCCAGCCCACCCCCGAGGGGACAUGGGCACUGUGGGGGCUUGGAUGCAGCCUCACCAACAGUGCAGUCCAAAGGUCCAGUCCAGGAGA